rnacentral:rRNA from 1 species
UACGGGGGGGGCAAGCGUUGUUCGGAAUUACUGGGCGUAAAGGGCUCGUAGGCGGCCCUCUAAGUCACACGUGAAAUCCCCCGGCUCAACCGGGGAACUGCGUGUGAGACUGGGGGGCUAGAGUUUGGGAGAGGAAUGCGGAAUUCCAGGUGUAGCGGUGAAAUGCGUAGAUAUCUGGAGGAACACCGGUGGCGAAGGCGGCAUUCUGGACCAACACUGACGCUGAGGAGCGAAAGCCAGGGGAGCAAAC